UACGGGGGGGGCAAGCGUUGUUCGGAAUUACUGGGCGUAAAGGGCUCGUAGGCGGCCAACUAAGUCAGGCGUGAAAGCCCCGGGCUCAACCUGGGAACCGCGCUUGAGACUGGCAUGCUCGAGUUCGGGAGAGGAUGGUGGAAUUCCCAGUGUAGAGGUGAAAUUCGUAGAUAUUGGGAAGAACACCGAUGGCGAAGGCAGCCAUCUGGACCGACACUGACGCUGAGGCGCGAAAGCGUGGGGAGCAAACAGG
rnacentral:rRNA from 1 species